UGAAAAGGAUAAAUACUAACUAUUAGUAAUCAUUUUACAGGAAAGUAUUUCCAGCUAGAUUGCAGUGAAGUCUAUUUGUCAGUUUAUUUUCUGAAAAUGUUGAUGCCAUAUUAGUGAAUGACCCUAGCAAAGAUAAAGUCUGUCAACUUUUUAGAAGAAUAAAAACAGAUUUUCAACUUGAACAUGAACAAAAAGCUGCAAUAAAGUAAUCAAAAUUUCCUGUCACGGAAUCCAGAGACGAGGAAAAAAGAAAUUGUCUGUACUUAUAGAAAAAUUGUUGUAUUUAGUUGGAGUGAAACUGACGAGGGACAUUGAUUUUUUGUCAAUUUCAGAUUCCAGUGGUUCCUCAAGAAAAGCAAGCAGAUUAUCUGGAAACUCAAUGAAUCUGAAAAAGAUACCAACUUAGGAAACAAGGGGCAACCAAUAAACUGAUCAUUAAAGCUUAACGGUACUUGAUACAUAUUGACGUCAGGUUUUGUAGUGGUACUAUCGGAUAACAGUUCGGAACAACAACAGACCAAACUGACUGUCAGACAAAGAAACCAAACCAUGAUGGAACCUUAGAUUGCUGAAAUACAGUAAAGCUGGAUUUAACAGGGAUAUAUACAGAAAAGACUUUAAAUAGUUAAUGUAAGUGCUGACAACAGUUAUGCAGAUGACUACAAUCCAAAACAAUCAGUAAACAGCAAAGAAGAUAGUCUGUUUAAUCAGAGAACACUGGAUUAUGAAAACUUCAAUGAAAAUUUCUUUCUUAAGACAAGAAUAUCAGCUACAUACUGAAAGUGAUUAUUGACUCGUAAAUUGUAACCACUGAUAAAGGACCUUGGUUUGCCGAUUUUCAAAAUAGGAAGUGAUAAUGGA